GAUGAACGCUGGCGGCGUGCCUAAUACAUGCAAGUCGAGCGAACAGACGAGGAGCUUGCUCCUUUGACGUUAGCGGCGGACGGGUGAGUAACGCGUGGAUAACCUACCUAUAAGACUGGGAUAACUUCGGGAAACCGGAGCUAAUACCGGAUAACAUGUUGAACCGCAUGGUUCAACAGUGAAAGACGGUCUUGCUGUCACUUAUAGAUGGAUCCGCGCCGCAUUAGCUAGUUGGUAAGGUAACGGCUUACCAAGGCAACGAUGCGUAGCCGACCUGAGAGGGUGAUCGGCCACACUGGAACUGAGACACGGUCCAGACUCCUACGGGAGGCAGCAGCAGGGAAUCUUCCGCAAUGGGCGAAAGCCUGACGGAGCAACGCCGCGUGAGUGAAGAAGGUCUUCGGAUCGUAAAACUCUGUUAUUAGGGAAGAACAAAUGUGUAAGUAACUAUGCACGUCUUGACGGUACCUAAUCAGAAAGCCACGGCUAACUACGUG
rnacentral:rRNA from 1 species